rnacentral:rRNA from 1 species
ACGUAGGGGGCAAGCGUUAUCCGGAUUUACUGGGUGUAAAGGGAGCGUAGGCGGUCUGGCAAGCCAGAAGUGAAAGCCCGGGGCUUAACCCCGGGACUGCUUUUGGAACUGUUAGACUAGAGUGUCGGAGAGGUAAGUGGAAUUCCUAGUGUAGCGGUGAAAUGCGUAGAUAUUAGGAGGAACACCAGUGGCGAAGGCGGCUUACUGGACGAUAACUGACGCUGAGGCUCGAAAGCGUGGGGAGCAAACAG